UUAAAUUGAAGAGUUUGAUCAUGGCUCAGAUUGAACGCUGGCGGCAGGCCUAACACAUGCAAGUCGAACGGUAGCAGGAAGAAGCUUG
rnacentral:rRNA from 1 species